UCAGACUUUUUUACUAGUCCAGCUCAAUCACUAGAAUUAUGUUACCUGCUACAAGUAAUUUUUAGCAAUUAUUUGUAGUAAAGAAAAGGCACCCGGUAUGAAUGUCAAGAGAAAGGUUUAUCCAAGUUUUCGGUGCUUUUUAAUAUUUUCUCGGAGUACUAGUGGCAAAAAGAAAUAAGGGUUCUCUAUCUUAAAGUUGCAAAUUUGUAUGAAAACCAUGUGUCUUGCAAAUAGAUCUUAUUUAAUUUUGCAUGCUUACAUGAAGUGGAAUGAAUGUUGCAUGUGAAUGAAAUUGAAAGAGGCUACACCAUUUUCUUAAUACAGCCCUUGGAGCUGAUUUGCCCACUGACAAAGAUGAAGAAAUGGCCAUGCGAAGUGCGACACCCUUGGCACAAACUACUGACAGUCUGCACUCAAAAAGGCCCAUUGAGGCCCUCAUAGAGGAACCAGCUUCAGUGAUAACUGCAAGUGGAGCUGGUGACAAACCAUCUGUGACAGGUAGCCAUGUUUGCAUGUUUCAAUUGUAGGAAAGUUCUAGCACUGCACCCUUCGCAAAUGUUGUAAAUAUUUUUCAGGGGAGGACUUCGGGUAUUUGCGGAAUGGCUCUGUAAGUAUAAAUUUUGCAUCUAAUCUGGGAAGUUCUAGCACCCUAUGAUCAAAACAAGCAGGUUAUGUUUGAAAGUAAUGAAUGCAAGUGGGCAAACAGUAAAGGUUAUAAUAUCCAAUCUGUAGAUGCCAA
rnacentral:lncRNA from 1 species